AUGUCAAAACCGUGGAAAAAGUUACGAGUCACGACACGUUUCUCUCCCGGUCCACCCUCUCUCUUCAGUCUUCACCCUGCGCCCGCGGCCGUCCAGUGCAAAAACUCCAAACUGAUCAAAUCCUCCUCCUCCGCCGUUGCCUCCCCCCUUCAUUCCCUAGACCUGCCACGGAACACGCGCGCGCUUCCAUUCCUAGCCCACGCCGAAGCGAAGCACGCCACCGGCCGCCACCAAGGGUCUUCCCUAGCACUCAUCCUUGCCGUCCUCGUCCUCCUCUUCUCCAGGGGACCGCCGCGUAGCAGAGAUCCGCCCGCGACAUAGCCUGACUUCUUCGCUUGCCGCCUUCAAUUGAUGGCCUCACCUUCAGCACCAACCGACAGUCAGGAAGCUGCUCGUCAGUCUCUGAUCGCAAUCUCCCAGUCUGUACCGGAGACACCUUCACCCCAGACGGUGAAGACGCCGACCUCCACUGAAGAGAACGGGAAGCUGGAGGAUGGGGCUGACAAGUACAGAUCGAAGCUGAUGUCCAUCACAGACCUGUCUUCUGACGCCCAACCUACGCCGUGCCCUCCCAAGGAUGUUGCCGCUUAACCGUGUGAUGCUCGUUGCUCGAUGUGCGGACAUAAUGUAUCAGUGCUUAUGCUGAUGCUCUGAACAUUUCACUGUCUUGCAUUGAACCGAACGUCCUUAUGUUACUAGUCUUUCUUGGCAGUUGGUGCCUGUUUUAUGACGAAUUAAGGGAAACAGGUGGAAAUAUAUUGUACAGUUUCCUGACUGAUGAUAAAGAACAAGUUAAUCUGAACAUGCUGUUAUGCACUCA